GAGCUUGCUCUUAUGAAGUUAGCGGCGGACGGGUGAGUAACACGUGGGUAACCUGCCCAUAAGACUGGGAUAACUCCGGGAAACCGGGGCUAAUACCGGAUAACAUUUUGAACCGCAUGGUUCGAAAUUGAAAGGCGGCUUCGGCUGUCACUUAUGGAUGGACCCGCGUCGCAUUAGCUAGUUGGUGAGGUAACGGCUCACCAAGGCAACGAUGCGUAGCCGACCUGAGAGGGUGAUCGGCCACACUGGGACUGAGACACGGCCCAGACUCCUACGGGAGGCAGCAGUAGGGAAUCUUCCGCAAUGGACGAAAGUCUGACGGAGCAACGCCGCGUGAGUGAUGAAGGCUUUCGGGUCGUAAAACUCUGUUGUUAGGGAAGAACAAGUGCUAGUUGAAUAAGCUGGCACCUUGACGGUACCUAACCAGAAAGCCACGGCUAACUACGUGCCAGCAGCCGCGGUAAUACGUAGGUGGCAAGCGUUAUCCGGAAUUAUUGGGCGUAAAGCGCGCGCAGGUGGUUUCUUAAGUCUGAUGUGAAAGCCCACGGCUCA
rnacentral:rRNA from 1 species